rnacentral:rRNA from 1 species
GAUGAACGCUGGCGGCGUGCCUAAUACAUGCAAGUCGAGCGAACGGACGAGAAGCUUGCUUCUCUGAUGUUAGCGGCGGACGGGUGAGUAACACGUGGAUAACCUACCUAUAAGACUGGGAUAACCUCGGGAAACCGGAGCUAAUACCGGAUAAUAUUUUGAACCGCAUGGUUCAAAAGUGAAAGACGGUCUUGCUGUCACUUAUAGAUGGAUCCGCGCUGCAUUAGCUAGUUGGUAAGGUAACGGCUUACCAAGGCAACGAUGCAUAGCCGACCUGAGAGGGUGAUCGGCCACACUGGAACUGAGACACGGUCCAGACUCCUACGGGAGGCAGCAGUAGGGAAUCUUCCGCAAUGGGCGAAAGCCUGACGGAGCAACGCCGCGUGAGUGAUGAAGGUCUUCGGGUCGUAAAACUCUGUUAUUAGGGAAGAACAUAUGUGUAAGUAACUGUGCACAUCUUGACGGUACCUAAUCAGAAAGCCACGGCUAACUACGUG